CCUACGGGAGGCAGCAGUGGGGAAUAUUGCGCAAUGGGCGAAAGCCUGACGCAGCGACGCCGCGUGAGGGAUGAAGGUCUUCGGAUCGUAAACCUCUGUCAGCAGGGAAGAACGGUCACUGUGCUAAUCAGCAGUGAAUUGACGGUACCUGCAAAGGAAGCACCGGCUAACUCCGUGCCAGCAGCCGCGGUAACACGGAGGGUGCGGGCGUUAAUCGGAAUUACUGGGCGUAAAGCGCUCGUAGGAGGGACGUCAAGUCAAGGGUGAAAUCCCCGGGCUCAACGUGGGAACUGCCUUUGAAACUGGCAGACUGGAGUGUGUGAGAGGAUAGUGGAAUUCGAGGUGUAGGAGUGAAAUCCGUAGAUAUCGGGAGGAACAUCAGUGGCGAAGGCGACUAUCUGGCACAUAACUGACGCUGAGGAGCGAAAGCGUGGGUAGCAAACAGGAUUAGAUACCCGUGUAGUC
rnacentral:rRNA from 1 species